GUUAAGCGUGCUUGGGCGAGAGUAGUACUAGGAUGGGUGACCUCGAAGAAUGUCCUCGUGUUGCAUCCCUCUUUUUUUCGGUUUUUCUCUUUUUUUGUUUUGUUAAAAAUGUAUGACUUUAUAACUUUUAGACCGUGAGGCCAAACUUGGCAUGCCAUACCUUUUCGGAAAGCCCAAAGAGAGCUCUCCAAUUAAUGAGGAAAGAAAAUGGAAUUCUUCUAUUGUUUUUUUUUUCUACUCCAAAUUUUGACCUUAAUGUACUUUUUCGUGCCUUUUCGUGAUCUUUGCUAUAGUACGGGGUGAAAAUUAUAUGUUCGGACAGUGUUUUCGAAUAUUUUGCAUGUAUCAAAGCUCUAAUAAACAAGAUAGGGUAUUCCUACAUAGCUAGUGGGACCCACGACAAAUGGAUCAUAAAGUCUUAAAAAAGAAUAGAUACGAUUGCAUUGCAUGUAUUAACGGAUGCGAUUAUACCAGCAUUAAUGCACUGGAUCCCAUCAGAAAUCUGUAGUUAAGCGUGCUUGGGCGAGAGUUGUACUAGGAUGGGUGACCUCCAGGAAAGUCCUCGUGUUGCAUUCCCCUUUUUUUUCUCGGUUUUUCUCUUUUUUGUUU
rnacentral:sRNA from 1 species